GGAACGGUGGCUCAGCGGGAGAGCGUACGACCGCUUCGGCGGCUCCUCGGCUUCACUCGCCCGUUCGGGCCGACGUUCGAGGGUGAUCGGGAUCGUAAGGUCGUGGGUUCGAAUCCCACCCGUUCCC
rnacentral:tRNA from 1 species